UACGUAGGGCGCGAGCGUUGUCAGGAAUUAUUGGGCGUAAAGAGCUCGUAGGCGGCUUGUCGCGUCGGCUGUGAAAACCUGGGGCUCAACCCCGGGCCUGCAGCCGAUACGGGCAAGCUAGAAUUCGGUAGGGGAGACUGGAAUUCUCGGUGUAGCAGUGAAAUGCGUAGAUAUCGAGAGGAACACCAGUGGCGAAGGCGAGUCUCUGGACGACUCCUGACACUGAGGCACGAAAGCUAGGGGAGCAAACAGG
rnacentral:rRNA from 1 species